GGAACAAAGAGAGGUCUGAAGGAGGGUGAAGGAAGAGAGGAGCAGCCGCACCACCAUAGAGGAAUCCUAGAGAAGGUAAGUUAGAAUUUCUAAGGAUUUUAGUUUUAAUUUUUUAUUGGAUUGAAAGUUAGAGUUUUUAUGUAUUAAUUUUGAUUUUUUAAUCGGAUGAAAAGGUUAGAAUGUAGUUAGUUUGAUUUUGAUUCAUUGUCUUGAUUCCAAGUUUUGAUUUUUCUAGGUUGUUAUGUUUUUAGAAUUAUAGUUUAUUAUUCCUAUUGAACCACUUGAUUAAAUCCAUGUUUUAAUUUUUUAACUUUAGUUUUGAUUGAUCUUAUCUAGCUUAUGUGUUUUUAGAAUUUUAGUUUAUUAUUCCUAUUGAACCCAUGUGAUUAAUUCCAUGUUUAAAAUUGUUAACUUUAGUCUUUGAUUGACCCUAUUUAGUUUAUGUGUUUUAGAUUUUUAGUUGAUGAGUCUAUUACUUUCUCAUGUCAUUAUAUCCACGUUUUGAGCUUGUUCGUUUUAAUUCUCGAUUGAUCCAAUUUUAUUUUGUGUGUUUUUUUUAGAGUUUUAGAUAUUUAAUUUAAAAGUUACUUUUCUCAUGUUGUAAGUUUGUUAAUUUUAAUUCUUGAUUGACCUAAUUUUAGUACAUGUUUUUUUAGAGUUUUAGUUAAUUAGUUUAAUCGAUGCUCAUGUUUUAAAAAAAGUUUGUUAAUUUUGAUUUUUGACUGAUCUUGUCCUAGUUUAUUGUUUUUUAAAAUUUUAGUUAAUUAGUUUUAUCCCAUGUUAUUAUACUCAUGUAUUAAAAAUAGUUAAAUUUAGCUUUUCUACUUAGUUGAUGUGUCCUUUUUUUUUUUUAAAUUUUGGUUAUCAUUUUGCUUAAUCCCUUGUUACUUAGUUUUGUUUUUGUUUUGGAAGUUCUUAAUGUCUAGUUGUUGAUUAGUUAAUAUGUUUUAGAAUUCUAUGUGCUUAUGUUGCUAUAUUCACAUUAUUAUAAUUACAUGUUUAGGUGUUUGGUUGAUUUUAAAUUAGUUCUUGAUUGUUUAUCUCAAUUUAUGUGAUUGAUUGAUCCUUAUAAAUUCCCGAUUAAUAUUUCAUUAGUUUUAUUUGAUCUAAAGUCGUUUGGUUUGUUGUUUUGGUGAGUAUUUAUUAAAAUUGAUUUUUAGAGGCCAUUGGAAAAUCAUGAAGAUUGGCCUCUACCAUCACCAUUAUCAUUUUUGUUAAUUACUAAAAAAUUUUACUUUGAGGUUUCAUUUUUGUCUUGUUUGGUAUUUUAUUUCUUAUAUUUUAUUUUUUCCCAAAUUAAUCCCUUUUAUUUUAAAAUAAAAUACUUUUAUAAAAAAAAAAUCAUUUUAAAAAUCUAUUUCAAAAAUUCAUUAGAUUCCUCAGGAUCAAAAUCUUUUUUUUUAUUUUAUUUUUAAAAAAUAAUAUGCAACCAUAUUUUGUUCGGUUUGCAUCCUUCUCGGUUUUCAACAAAAAUUUUGGUUUUGAACAAAGACACGAAUCAAAGCUUGUGGUCCCACAUAAAUGGGAUAAUUCUGAGCUAAAUUCGUGUAUAUCAAUUGGGGAAUUGGUGAAACCCCUACAUAAGAAAAUCUCUUCAAAAAUUAUUUUUGUUGCCACCUUUGUCACUUGUUGAAAUUAUGUCAUCUUUUUUAGGAAUUGUAUACAAGAUGUGUGUGAUAAUUAAUGUUUUCAUAUACUUUGAUAAUUUUUGUUAUGCUAAUUAGAUAACAAGCAUGCUAGGGUUUCUUUAUUUUAUUAUUAUCUAAUCCCUCAUGUCUUAUGGAAGCGCAUUGUAAGUUAUCUAUGCUAUCCAGGUACGCCCCCCUAUCACCUACUUUCUAAAUUUUGUAAACAAUCGUGUCACUAUGAAGUAUGCAUAUGUUUGAUAAUCCUUAGGUGUUUAGAUGUAUGCUUGAUUCACUAUGAUUAAAUACAUGUUGUGUGUUAUACUUCUAUACUAACUCUGAUGUUUUAUGAUAGCGCUUGAGAAGCGGUCCGGGUACGCAUCCUAACCUUUCUUUUAUGGCAAUUUGAUCUUGUUUAGCAUGCAAAUCUUUUGAAAUCACUUAGCCUACUUAGGUAUCCAUAAUUAACCGAUUAAUUGCCAUAUUCCCCUUAACUUAAUUAGUAGAGACCUCUUUAGGGCUUAGAGGGGUGCUACCUCCUAGAGGUACCUUCCCAAUAAGUAACCUGAUCCCCAGACCAAGACUUGGGUUUUCAAAGACACGCUUUUCCAAAAAUUAUGGAGUCAUUUUUUUUAGGGUUUUAUUUCUUGUUUUAUUUUCCCUUCAAAAAUAAAAAUAAAAUAAGUGGCGACUCCAACUUUUUUUCAAAAAAUCAAUUUUUCACAAAUAAAUAAAAAGCGAGUCUCGCCGAUUGAGUGGGAACGCACGUGAAAAAUGCGGGUCCACAAAUUGGCGACUCCACUGGGGAUUUUGAGGAUCAAGCUUGAACACUAGUUGAGGAAAAUGUGGCGUUUAAUUGGUCAAUUAGUGGGUACCUCUUUUUUCCUAGGCAAAGUGAUUUGAUUUGCUUGUUUGGUCUGCUAUCUUGACAUGCUUGAUUUCCUUGGAUGAUCACUUGAUUGUUUGCUCACUUCAGCAUGAUUCACUCUCACAUAUGCUAGAUAGGACUUUGAUUGUAUGAUAUUCAUCUGCUUGGUAUGACUGCUUGUUGCAUGACAACCCUUUCUCUUGCAUGAUUAUAUGUUUGCUUGUCUUUGUUCACCAUCUCACUUUAGAUCUUAGGUUUUUCGGAUGCACCCACAUCCUUCAUUAUGCACUUUAGAUUAUCCCUGAGUGUUGAGAGAUGGGAGAGCCUUCACCAUUAAGAAACCCCCUGGGAACGCGAGGAAGUGCAUGUGUGGAGGUGAUGACCACCUUGCAUAGAAGCACCCCGUCUCCUUGGAGGCGUGCAGAGGGUUGCGUACCGCCGGAGGGUACGAUCGCUUCUGCUAGGGAUCCUUUGACCCGCCCAUUUUAUCUUAUAGAGCCACCUUAACCUUGUAGGUUAGCCUAGACCCAAUUAAGAUUUCAUUCCUACACGUGGGUGCAUCUGUGGACCUUCAGAGCUACCUUGGUCACAAUUGGAAUUGGUUAUCCCUUCCUUAGUCUCCUUUUGGUGUAAUAAGAGGAGGGUAUCAGAUUGAGUACAUUUGGGCUAUUUUCCUGCACACUUAUCAAUUGAUUCAUACAGAGUCGUCUUCGUACCGCACCUUAUCCAGUGUUUUCCCUACUUGUAGGAGAGUUUAUCGUGACCAGUCUGGAUUCACCUUCGUGGAUUAGAGUUGGAGGCAGAUUGAGCAGAGUAUCAGACCAGUCAGAUCAGAGAUCAGAUCAGAGGGAUAUGGACUCACAGGUAGUUACCGUUGACCAGUUUGCCGCAGCCAUGGCUUCUAUCCAGGAGGCUAUAGCUAACCUUGGUCAGAGGAUAGAUGGACAGCAGACCCAGCAGGUCCCAGUUCAGGAGAGUACCCAGUUCGAUACCACAGUACCACCACCACCUCCGCACAGUCAGCCAGCACCACAGACUAUACCUUUUACUCUGCAUAGUCAGACUGAGGUUGCACCACCUCCUGCCAUAGUGCCUACUCCGAUCUCAGAGGACCCACAUGCUCGUAUGGAUAAACUUGAGCAGAAGUUGAGACAGAUGAGGACUUCAGAGGGAGCUAUUACUUGGGAGGAUUUUGAUGGAGCACCAGUGGCCAGUCUACCGGCCAAGUUCAAGAUGCCUGAGAUUGAUAGAUACACAGGCAUAGGAUGCCCUCGCAUCCAUUUGAGACUCUAUAGUACUGUUAUGAGGGCCCAUGGACUGGAUGAGGCCCAGAUGGUUAUGCUUUUCCCUAUGUCCCUGAGUGGAGCUGCACAGCGUUGGUUCGCUUCAUUGGAGGUAUCAAGCCGUAGGACUUGGGACGACUUGGCCCAGGAGUUUUUGAGACAGUUUGCAUUUAACACUAUCAUUGAUGUUUCGAGGAGAGAGUUGGAGGCUUUGAGACAGAGGCCGGAGGAGUCAGUCACUUCAUUUAUUUCCCGCUGGAGGGAGAAGAUUUCAUAGAUUAUAGACCGUCCUUCAGAGAAGGAUCAGAUUAGCAUGAUCAUGAGGAGCUUGCAGCCUAGAUUUGCUAGACACUUGAUGGGAUUUCCUCAUACGGAUUUUGGAUCUUUGGUACAGGCUUUGUAUGGUAUAGAGGAGGGCAUUGCUAGAGGAUUGUGGUCCGAGUCUUCCUCCAUUGAUCCUAAGGGGAAGAGGCCUUCAGGAGGACAGAGAUCAGGAGAUGUUGGUGCUAUCAGUUCAGUAGGGAUGAGACCUUCUAGACGCUAUCAGACAGUUGGGCAGACUCCUGGGUACUACUAUCCACCUUCACUCCAUGUGCAGUAUAGGCCACCUGUUCCCUCCAGACCUAUGACUCCUACCUAUCUGCAUCCAGUCUCACAGCCUGUUUUCGCUGCACAUGUCGCAAAGAGGCCUCUUGCCCCAUAUACUCGACCCCGAGCUCCACAGACCACUACUUAUGUGCAGAGGCCACUACGUCAGUUUGCUCAGUUGGGUAUGCCUUUGAGUCGAGCUUUUCAGAAGCUCACAGAGGGUGGAUUAUUGACUCCAUUAGCAUCCAGGCCUUUACCCCAACCCAUACCACCUCGCUUUAGGAUGGACUUACAUUGUUCCUACCAUCAGGGACCAGGGCAUGACACGGACCAUUGUACUGCUUUGAGACAUGCUAUUCAGGAUUUGAUAGAUCAGGGUUUGGUCAACUUGGGGCAGCCAAGUGUGACCACUAACCCUCUUCCUGCUCAUUCUACACACGCAAUGCAACCAUCUUCAGGAGAUAUUCAUCACAUGGACCUUAUAGAGGAUGACAGUAUACACAUGUUGAGUUGGGAUGAUGGAUUACCCGAGCCGAUUGUUUUGCAUGACAGCUAUGAGAUUGAUGGGGUUUCAAUGGUCCCUCAGACUCCUGCACCAUUCAGUUUGAUCCCGGACGAGGCACCAUUUCAGUUGACUUAUCCUACACCCUUAGUUAUCGGAUGUCAGGAUACUUUUGUCCCUUUCACCUUAUGGCCAGAGGAUGAUGAUUCAGAGGGGAGAGAGAUACAGAUUGUGACUCGUAGUGGGAGGAUAGCUCAGCCACCACCACCAGCAGUCAGACCAUUUGAGGGUACAGCCUCUCAUGAGGAGGUUAGGAGAGAGGAUGAUGAGGUUUUGAGACAGCUACAGAGCACUCAGGCUCGCAUUUCCAUCUGGAGUUUAUUAGCAUCAUCCAGUACUCAUAGAGAUGCCUUGAUUCGAGCCUUGAGUCAGAUCAGAGUAGAGACUACCACCACUCCAGAGGGAUUGAUUCAUAUGAUGACGGCUGGCAGGGCUACUUGCAUUGUAUUUUCAGAUGAUGACUUGCCACCUAAUGGUUUAGACCACGUGCGCCCUCUAUACAUCACAGUUGGAUGUUCAGGCCGUAGAGUCCCGUCUGUCCUACUAGACAACGGCUCAGCCCUGAAUGUUUGUCCUUUAGCGACUGCUAUAGCCCUUGGUUUCGCGCCUUCAGAUUUUGGUCCUUCUACUCAGACAGUCAGAGCGUAUGAUAGCACCAAGAGGGAGGUUAUGGGUACCUUGAUGAUCGAUUUGCAGAUUGGUCCAGCCACAUUUUCCACUUUGUUCCAGGUUUUGAGGAUUCCUGCGUCCUUUAACCUGCUACUAGGCCGACCAUGGAUUCAUGUAGCUGGAGCUAUUCCUUCUUCCCUUCAUCAGAAGGUGAAGUUUAUUCAUGAUGGGCAGGUCAUCACAGUGCACUCUACCAGGGAUAUAUUUGCGUCUUCCGAGCCAGUACUUCAGAUUAGUCACAGUGAGGAUGACCUGCUUCUGACUGGGUUUACUUUUGAUGAGAUACAGACUCUCGAGAUUGAGGAUUUUUGUAGAGACUUUGUGGCUAUGUCAUUUGAUCAGCACAGUAGCACAGUGGUCCUUGAUAUGAUGAGGGGUAUGACCUUUCUACCUGGCAUGGGGUUAGGACGACGUCAGCAGGGACCGAGCGAGUUCAUAGCUGCCAUUGACCAUGAUACGACAUUUGGACUUGGAUUCAUCCCUACUGAGGCCGAUUACCGUCACAUGGCGCGGCUGCGCAAGGAGAGGGUGAAAGCCCGUUUAUCCCACACACCAUUUGAUUAUCCUAUUCGACCCUAUAGGAUGAGUUUGGCUGACUACUUUGUCAGAGGAUCAGAGACUCGACCUCGUCUAGAGGAGAUUGAUAGUGUGGUUCAUACAGAUAGAGAGACCGAGCUUCAGCAUCUAUUUCACCAGCUACAGUUGAGUGAUGGGGCUCCUGACACUUCUUUCCCUGUGGCGAUUACUCCUACGUCUCCAGAUCGAGCUAGCAUGUUGUCUCUAUGCUUUCCAGAGGAGAUCAUGAGUGAUGGGGUGAUUCUUGAUCCUCCUGAGGUGAUUGAUGGAGUUGUUCCCCAUGAUGAGUACCGUGAUGAGAUGGACAUGAUGACCGUGAGCCAGAUUGCCGGCAUUGUUCAGCUUCAGCCUGUUUCAGCAUUUGAUAUGUUUGGGGUGUCUACCAUUGAGGUUUUUGAGGGGACUCAGACUCUUCCUGUUCCAGAGCUUCCAGAGGAUGAUAGUAGUUUGUUUGAGGGCAUUGUUAGCCCAGUUGAGGGAGCGUCCGACGUUGUGGACCCACCUCUUUCUUUUGAUGUUUUAUCGGGAUUUGUCUCCCGCUCUGACGAUGUUUCUGUUGCUUCAUUUAUGGAUUUGAGCAUUUUUGAGUAUUCGCCUGUCUCUUGUGAUAGUAUCUCUAUAUCUGCACCCCACCCACCCACUUCACAGAUAUUUGAUAUAGAUGAUGAGAUUACACAGCCCGGUUCGGAUAGGGACUCUUUGGAUCAUGACUCUGGUCCCAUACAUGAGAGAGUUUCACCUGCUGCAGGAGACGUUGAGACUAUUGAUUUUGGCAUAGAAGAUCAGCCUAGAGAGCUGAAGAUUGGUUCACCCCUAUCUACAGAUGAGAGAGAUAGACUCAUCCAUUUACUCAGGUCAUACUUGGAUGUCUUUGCAUGGUCUUAUGAGGACAUGCCAGGUCUUGAUCCCUUUAUAGUCCAGCACCAUUUACCUACCCUACCACAUGUUAGACCAGUUAAGCAGAAAUUGAGACGGUUGCAUCCACGUUGGAGUCUACAGGUAAAAGAGGAGAUUCAGAAACAACUCAGUGUUGGGUUCAUAUCAGUAGUUGAGUAUCCAGAGUGGUUGGCUAAUGUCGUCCCUGUCCCUAAAAAGGAUGGCAAAGUUAGGGUUUGUGUUGACUUCAGAGAUCUCAAUAAAGCCAGCCCUAAAGAUGACUUUCCCCUUCCACACAUUGAUUUGUUGGUUGGUGGCACCGCAGGUCAUUCGAUGUUGUCUUUCAUGGAUGGGUUUUCAGGAUAUAAUCAGAUUUUGAUGGCUCCAGAGGAUAUGGAGAAGACAGCCUUUAUUACUGAGUGGGGUACCUACUGUUACAGAGUUAUGCCAUUUGGGUUGAAGAACGCAGGAGCUACUUAUCAGAGAGCCGCUACCACUUUGUUUCAUGACAUGAUGCAUAGGGAUGUCGAGGUUUACGUGGAUGAUAUGAUUGUGAAAUCCCGAGGUAGAGCGGAUCACCUAGAUGCUUUAGAGAGAUUCUUUGAGAGGAUCCGGAAGUUUAGAUUAAGGUUGAAUCCCAAGAAGUGUACCUUUGGAGUGACUUCUGGGAAGUUAUUGGGACAUAUAGUCAGUGAGCGGGGCAUAGAGGUCGACCCAGAUAAAAUCAAAGCCAUACUUGACAUGCCUGCACCAAAGACUGAGAAAGAGAUCAGGAGUUUUCUAGGCAUAUUACAGUACAUCAAUCGAUUCAUAGCCAGAUUGACAGACAUAUGUGAGCCUAUCUUUCGUCUUUUGAGGAAGAACCAGCCAACAGUUUGGAAUGAUGACUGUCAGGCUGCAUUUGAGAAGAUCAAGGAGUACUUGCUUUCUCCUCCUGUUUUAGUGCCUCCUACGCCAGGACGUCCACUUCUUCUAUAUCUGUCAGUUUCAGACAUGGCCUUGGGAUGUAUGUUAGCUCAGAUUGAUGACUUAGGGAAGGAACGGGCUAUUUACUACUUGAGUAAGAGGAUGCUGGAGUAUGAGAUGAGAUAUGUUAUGAUUGAGCGCCUUUGCUUAGCACUAGUUUGGGCUACCAGGAGAUUGAGGCAUUACAUGACAGAGUAUUCAGUGCAUUUGAUAUCCCGCCUAGACCCGUUGAGAUACUUGUUUGAUAGACCUGCAUUGACUGGUAGAUUGAUGAGAUGGCUCGUACUUUUGACAAAGUUCGAUAUUCAGUACGUUUCUCAGAAGUCUAUUAAGGGAAGUAUUGUCGCCGAUCACCUAGCUUCACUACCGACAUCUGAGGAUAGACCAGUUGAUGAUGAUUUUCCAGAUGAGGAGUUUGUUGCUGUGACUAGCUUAUCAGGAUGGUAUUUGUACUUUGAUGGUGCAGCCAAUCAGUUAGGGUAUGGGAUAGGUGUUUUGUUGGUGUCCCCUCAGGGCGAUCACAUUCCGAGAUCUGUUCGUUUGGCGUUCCAUGAUCAACAUCCUAUCACGAAUAACAUAGUUGAGUAUGAGGCUUGCAUCCUGGGUUUAGAGACUGCAUUGGAGCUUGGCAUUAGACAGAUGGAGGUAUUUGGUGACUCCAAUUUGGUACUCAGACAGAUUCAGGGAGAUUGGAAGACUAGGGACGUGAAGCUUAGGCCAUAUCAUGCUUAUUUAGAGUUGUUGGUUGCGAGAUUUGACGACUUGAGAUAUGUUCAUCUGCCUAGAGCGCAGAAUCGAUUUGCUGACGCCUUAGCUACUUUAGCUUCCUCCGUGGACAUUCCGAUUGAUGUAGUCAUACGUCUAUUACUAAUUGAGUCCAGGUCUGCACCCGCCUAUUGUUGUUUGAUUGAAGAGACAGAGGUCUAAGAUGACCUACCUUGGUAUCAUGACAUCUAUCAGUUCCUUAGAUCUGGCACAUACCCUGAGGUAGCCACUACCAAGGAUCGGAGAGCACUGAGGCAUUUGGCUACUAGAUUUGUGAUUUGCGGAGAUACCUUGUAUAGACGAUCGGCCGAUGGUAUGCUUUUAUUGUGUUUAGAUCGAGCCUCUGCAGAUCGAGUGAUGAGAGAGGUUCAUUCAGGAGUUUGUGGUCCGCAUAUGGGAGGACACAUGCUAGCCCGUAAGAUUAUGAGGACGGGCUAUUUCUGGUUGACUAUGGAGACAGAUUGCUGUUAGUUUGUCCAGAAAUGCCCAGAGUGUCAGAUUCAUGGUGAUCUCAUACAUGCACCACCAUUAGAGUUACACGCCUUGACCUCGCCAUGGCCAUUCUCAGUAUGGGGUAUUGAUAUUAUUGGGAAGGUUUCACCAAAAUCUUCCAGUGGUCACGAGUUCAUCCUGGUUGCCAUAGAUUAUUUCACCAAGUGGGUGGAGGCUGCAUCAUAUGCGAGGUUGACAUCUGCUAGGGUUGCUAGUUUCAUCAGAUCACACAUCAUUUGCCGCUAUGGGGUUCCUCAUGAGUUGAUUUCUGAUAGAGGGGCGCACUUCCGAGCUGAGGUAGACACUUUGUUGCAGGAGUAUGGCGUCCGACAUCAUAGAUCUUCAGCAUAUAGGCCACAGACCAAUGGGGCGGUAGAGGCUGCAAACAAGAAUAUUAAGAGGAUUUUGAGGAAGAUGGUUGAGACUUCUCGAGAUUGGUCAGAGAAGCUUCCUUUUGCAUUGUGGGCAUACCGCACCUCUUUUCGCACCUCUACAGGAGCUACGCCUUACUCCCUAGUGUAUGGUAUGGAGGCUGUUUUGCCAGUCGAGACAGAGAUGGGCUCAUUGAGAGUAGCCCUUGAGCAGCAGAUUUCUGAGACAGAGUGGGCUCAGGCUCGAUUUGAUCAGCUUAACCUUUUAGAUGAGAGGAGAUUGAGAGCAGCAGAUCAUGUUCAAGCCUAUCAAAGAAAGAUGGCUCGUGCCUUCAAGAAACGGGUUAAGCCUAGACCAUUGAAAAAAGGGGACUUAGUUUUGAGGAUUCUCAGAGGUUUGAUUGGAGACCCUAGAGGAAAGUUUAGACCUAGUUGGAGUGGGCCUUAUGUUAUCCGAGAGUUGAAUCCAGAAGGGGCUGCAUGGUUGACAGACUUAGAUGGAAACCAAUUUUCAGAGCCUACCAACGUGGAUCAGCUGAAGAAGUAUUAUGUUUGAGACCGUGGUCGCAGGAUGGGUGGCCAUCAUUUCGGUUAGCCUCAUACUUUAUCACCUCUAUAUAUUAGACCGUUGCUAGCCCAUUGAGCUUCACGUGGUAUGUUAUAGCCUUAUUUCUUUCUUAUAGCUUUGAUUACCAUUUCUAUACCCGGGUUGGGGCCCUUUGAUGUAUAUGCAUGCUUUGCUAGGAAAGUCUCAUGAACUUUAGACUUAUAGGUCUAUCUUCUCAUUUUGUUACCAUCCUCUUAUCACCCUAUUUGUUCUAUUUUAUUAUCAUCAUAUAUUCAUUCUCUUUCUUUUUUCUAUCAUUAUUUGCUUCAUCUUAUUAUUCUCUUCCUUGGGUUGAUGAUUCUUCACGUCUUAGUGCAAAGAAGGCAGUCAUAUCACUCUAUUCAUUCCAUCAUUUGACAUUGAUUCGGAGAUCUUAGUUUGAGAGGUUGUCUCAUGGGUUGGGGUUCAUGUAUUCAUCAGUGGUCAGAGAGAGUUUGUUCAUUCCUUAUAUUUUUCCAUUGGAGUUUGAUUUAUUGAUGAUUAGAGCAUGCGCAAAAAAAAAAAAAAAAAAAAAAAAUCAAAAAAAAAAAUCAAUCAAAAAUAAAUAAAAAAAUAAAAUAAAAUAAAAAGAAAAGAAAAGAAAAGAAAAGCGCAAUGAUAUGCUCAUGUAUGGUAUCUCGUUCCAUUGGGCAUUUAUGCCACCUUUUAAGGUUCAUUUAUUGAGUAUAUUUGUCAUUGUGGGUUUUUGUGAGUUUUUUAUGAGUUUUUCACUCCUUGAGCCACUCUUGUUAUGCAUUUGGAGUGUCGAGGGUUCAUGUGAGAGUUCUAUGAGAUCCUAUGAUGUUUGGAUCAUGAUUGAUAUAUAUUAGGUAUGAGAGAUGAGUGACCUUUUUACUAGGGUCUCCGGAUCAUUGUCUUACCCACCAUUCCAUCAUUGGUGAUAUGACUUUUCUUUAUUGAACUAACAUGGGUUGAUCAUCACUCAUUCCACUUUCUCAUUGCUUUCUUUUGUAUCCCAUUACCGCAUUCCAGAUCUUUGUUUCACCUGUUAUUCAUUCCCUACAUAUUGAUACCCAUUACUGAUUUGAUACCUUCUUCACAUCAUUCACAUAUUUCAUUGAUGGUUUGACCAUUCAUCCUUUCUCUCAUUUCGUUAUCAGCAUUCCCUUUGGUUACUUCUAAGUCCAUGACUCAUGAGAUUUUUCUAUGCAUUACAUCUUGUACACGAGGGUACGGGUUUGAUCGUUAGGUAUUUGAGCCUAGUUUCCCUUCAUUUCUUUCACCCUAUCACCUUAGCCUACGUUACGUCCCGUGUCUUAAGACCACCCUGAGGCCAAGAGAUCAAACGUUAUCUUUGACAGUCUUCACUUGGACAGGUUUUUGGUAGAUUGGUUGAAGUUUGGUCGUUACUAUGUUCUCUUUUAUGGAAGAUACUUUUGGAAGCAUUUGGUCUCUCUCUUGCUUGGCAUAUUGAUGUUUGAUGGAUUUUUGGGUUUGGAGACAGUUCAUUGAGGAUAUUAGAUUCAUCCUUUGGUUGUGCAUUAGAUGUCCAUAUUGGGACAUAUUCCCUUUCAUUUGGUUGAGAUGAGCCCCUAGUGGAGCACUUUCUUUGAGUCUGGGCAUUUUCACCGACCAGAGAUCCCUAGUGAGGUAUGUUGAGAUGGUAUCAGUUUUAGUGGAGCAUUGUUGAGUUCAUUGAUGACUUUCAUGAUUCUAGGUUCCAUUUGCGGAGUAUUCCUGAGAUAGACUAGUGGAUUAUUACUGAGUUAGAGGCAGUUUUCAGUGCAGCGUAUGAAUCUGGCAUACUGGAGCAUAUUUCUCCAUUUUGAGAUUACCAGAUUCCUAUCAGAUUCAGUCAGGGAUUCAUUAGAGACGUGCUUCUAUUCCUAAGAUUACCACGUCCUUCAUCAUUUUGGCUAUUCAUUUGAGGUUGGAUUUAGAGUGUCUCCCUUGAGGCAUUGGUCGGUACUUCAUUCUGACUUCCUAGCAGAUUGUUGUUGAGCUGAGGACAGUUGAUUGAUGAUGUUGGAUUCACCCUUUGGUUGUGCAUUAGAUAUUCACAUUGGGGCAUAUUCCCCCUUUUUCUGAGAUUCCUAUCUGUUAUUGGGCGGCAUGACUAUCUUUAUUCAUGGUUAUAGAGAUGUUUGGUUGUUUUUGACAGACUCUUUAUUGUGCAUUAAAUUAUCCACACUGGGGCAUAUUCCCCUCUCCUUGAUGAGAUUGUGUUUGGACAGCGGUACGAGGAUGGAUGAUCGUUGUUAGUUUGUUUGCCUCACGACUUCGACGUCCGAUAUCCAUACUGGGGCAUAUUCCCCUCUCCAUUACGAGAUUUAUUUGGGUAGUGAUAUGAGGAUGGAUGAUUAGUGUCGGUUGAUUAGCUUAUGACUUUGACGUCAGAUCUUAUACUGGGGCAUAUUUCCCCCAUUUUCUUUGAGUAUCCUUGAGAUUGAGACAGUGGCCAGCUUGGUUUUAGAUUGAGCACUAGCCCAGAGCUUCCGAUGAUCGACUGUAUCAGGGCCUCCCUACAUGGAUUUGUUGAGAUAGAGAUGGAUCGCAUCAGGUUUCACCCGAGGAGCGUGGGUAGAUCCUUUAGCAAGAUGUUCAUGAGACAGAUUUGUUUUCAUCAUUGUUACCUUGCAGAUUGGAUUAUCCAGAUGAGCAGCAUUUUACGUACUUUGAGGUUUACUUUUAGAUGAGCCAUGAUAUACACUCUUUGAGAUUUACCUUUUGAGAUUCACCGACAGAGCAGCUUUUCAGAUAUAGAGGGUUCCUUCAGUUUAGACUUUUCAGAGGUUUGUCACGAUGCAUCAGUUUCUGACCUAUUGAUUUCAGCGGAUGAUUGAUUUACUGGUUGUUGCGGCAGUGUGAGCACCCUGGAUACUGGGGCAUAUUUCCCUUCUUGGUUUCAGUAGUCCGACCCUUGACAUUUUGAGUAUAUGACUUUGAGCCAAUUUAUUUCGUGUCCACUUUCGAGUUGGUCUUAUCCUUUUUCCCUUAGACCCUGAGUCUUAUAGCCCUGAGCUAUCCUUUUUCCCUUAGGCCCUGAGCCCGCUAGCCUUGAGCUAUCCUUUUUUUUAGGCCCUGAGCCUCGUAACCAUGAGUUAUCCAUUCCUUCUAGACCCCGAGUCUUAUAGCCCUGAGCUAUCCUUUUUCCCUUAGGCCCUGAGCCCGCUAGCCCUGAGCUAUCCUUUUUUUAGGCCCUGAGCCUCGCAGCCAUGAGCUAUCCAUUCCUUCUAGACCCUGAGUCUUAUAGCCCUGAGCUAUCCUUUUCCCUUAGGCCCUGAGCCCGCUAGCCCUGAGCUAUCAUUUCCUAUAGACCCGGAGUCUUUCCAGCUCUUAGCUGAGCUUUCAUCAUUUGGUCGCCCAUGAGUGGUUUGACCUGGAGUUUGCGUAUCGCAUUCUCCUUCUAGCCGAUCAGUCAUAGAGCCCGAAGCUCAUAGCCCUGAGCUAUUCAUCGACCCAGAGUCAUUUUCCAUCUUGACCUAGAGUCAUUCUUUCCUAGUUAGAGCCCAGAGCUCUCGACCCAGAGUCAUUUUCCAUCUUGACCCAGAGUCAUUUAUAGCACCCCGAGCCCUGAGCUCACGACCCAGAGUCAUUUACAUCAUUCUAGCCACUUGUGAGUGGCCUCGACCCGACACCUUGAGUCGGAAAGUAUCCUGAUUGGCUAUCUAUUUAGAGCCCGGAGCUCUCGACCCAGAGUCAUUAUUUCCAUUUAGAGCCCAGAGCUCUCGACCCAGAGUCGGUUUUCCAUUUAGAGCCCAGAGCUCUCGACCCAGAGUCGAUUUUCCAUUUAGAGCCCAGAGCUCUCGACCCAGAGUCGGUUUUCCAUUUAGAGCCCAGAGCUCUCGACCCAGAGUCGAUUUUCCAUUUCGAGCCCAGAGCUCUCGACCCAGAGUCGAUUUUCCAUUUCGAGCCCAGAGCUCUUGACCCAUAGUCGAUUUUCCAUUUAGAGCCCAGAGCUCUCGACCCAGAGUCGAUUUUCCAUUUAGAGCCCAGAGCUCUUGACCCAGAGUCAUUUCUUUUCCAUUUAGAGCCCAGAGCUCUCGACCCAGAGUCGAUUUUCCAUUUAGAGCCUAGAGCUCUCGACCUAGAGUCGGUUUUCCAUUUCGAGCCCAGAGCUCUCGACCCAGAGUCGAUUUUCCAUUUCGAGCCCAGAGCUCUCGACCUAGAGUCGAUUUUCCAUUUCGAGCCCAGAGCUCUCGACCCAGAGUCGAUUUUCCAUUUAGAGCCCAGAGCUCUCGACCCAGAGUCGGUUUUCCAUUUAGAGCCCAGAGCUCUCGACCCAGAGUCGGUUUUCCAUUUAGAGCCCAGAGCUCUCGACCCAGAGUCGGUUUUCCAUUUAGAGCCCAGAGCUCUUGACCCAGAGUCGAUUUUCCAUUUCGAGCCCAGAGCUCUCGACCCAGAGUCGAUUUUCCAUUUCGAGCCCAGAGCUCUCGACCCAGAGUCGAUUUUCCAUGUAGAGCCCAGAGCUCUUGACCCAGAGUCAUUUCUUUUCCAUUUAGAGCCCAGAGCUCUCGACCCAGAGUCGAUUUUCCAUUUAGAGCCCAGAGCUUUCGACCCAGAGUCGAUUUUCCAUUUAGAGCCCAGAGCUCUCGACCCAGAGUCGUUUUUCAUUUAUGACCCAGAGUCAUUUCUGUUCCAUUUAGAGCCUAGAGCUCUUGACCCAGUGUCGAUUUUUCACUUAUGACCCAGAAUCAUUCUUUCUGUGAAAAGCUUUGAGCUCACGACCUGAAGUUAUUCCCUUUUUGUGAUUGCGUCCCCGUGUUUAGAUCUUACCUCUUCAUGUGCUAGGACAAAAUCUCUGGUCCUUCUUUAAUUCUUCGGUAUAGUUCACUUCAUUCUGCUCAUUACUCGUAUUUCUACUCACAUUCUCUACACUCGUGAUCUAUACCGAAGAGGGGCAUAUUUGUAGAACCUCAAUUUUGUCCCUUUAGCACAUGUCUUUAAAAGUCGUUUUCAGUGUUUCAAAAUAGUUCCUUGGUGGCCCAUUACUACUCGUACAACUUACCUUUUUCUGAGUCACCUCGGAGACUUUGGUUGAGGGAUUAUCUGACCCUUUAUUGUGAUCCUUGGCAGUCUUGAUUUAGACUUAGGCUUUUCUUUUUUUUAGGAUAGCUUUUAGAUACACUUGGCCCAUUAGACACCACCCUAGGCCCACCCAAAUUCAUCUUGACUCGCACCGAGACACCUCCUCAUUUACACACAUGUCACUUAGGUCACUUAGACACCUUUCUCAGAAUAGGUCCAUUUAGACAUUUCAUUGAGGCUCAACAUUUUAUUCUUAUUAUUUCUUAUAUAUAUAAUAUUAUUAUUAUUAUGGCAUGUAUUUGAUAUUUACAUUUAUUUUGUCUAUUCAUUUUUACUUUUACUUUUUAUUAUUUACUUAUUCAUGUAUUUAAUUGUCUUUAUAUAUUUCAUUUUAUUUAUUUUUAUUUAUUUAUUUAUUUACUUAAUGAAAAAUUGUUUGAAUUGUUAGAUUUAAAAUACGCAUAUAGCCCCUUUAUCAAAUGACAGAAUUGUACAAUCUAAUAUUUGAUUUUCUCUUUCAUUCUCUUUUAAUCAUAUUUCAUUUUAUCACCAAUUUCAUGACUUUCAUUAAUUUCUCAUCUUUUCCUUUACUUUUAAUUUUAUUUUAUUCUGUUUUUGCAUGAGGAGAAAAAUUGCAUGGGAUUUCUUCGGGAAGAUUAUGGGCAAGGCAAAGACGUACAUGCAGCAAUGAGGAUCUGAGAAGCCAUCUACACAAAAGAAACACAAGGAUUACACUUGUAUGAGAGCUGUAAACUACGGGUUACUGCUAUUGAUCAAUACCAACCAAGCAGAAUUUCUUGUUUCAUGAGGAAAAUCAUGUCUGGAUCAGAUCAUUCCUCUGGUUUUGAUCAGCUAAGGUUGAUGGUCAAGAAGGUCUUGGCCAAGCCUCAACGUGAGGGUGAGGGUGUUUGUUGUUAGGAGGAGCAUUGGAAAGAGUGAAUUGAAAAAACCUGGAUCCUUUUCUCAUGUUGGAUAAGUUCGCAGUCGCACCACUUGCUGGUUUUCCGGAUCAUCCACACAGAAGCUUCGAGACUGUUACAUACAUGCUGCAAGGAGCUUUCACUCAUCAAGAUUUUGUAGAGCAUAAGGGCACAAUCCGAACAGGAAAUGUGCAGUGGAUGACUGUUAGGCAGAGGCAUAAUCCACUCUGAAAUGCCCGUAGGUGAAGGAACCCAAAAGGGAUUGCAGUUUUGGAUCAAUCUAACAUCCAAAGAAAAAAAUGAUUGAACCAAAUUACCACGAAUUGCCGAGUGAAGACAUCAAAGGAGCAGAGAAAGAUGGCGUUAAAGUCUAGGUCACAACUGAGGAAGAGCAGCCCGCAAGGUGGGGGGACCCACAUACAUUCACAGAGAAUAAUCAAAAGGAGCCACGUAGGUAGGGUUGCCGAGGGAAUAAAAAAAUUUGGACUGCUCACACCUUAGGGGCCUCUACAGAUGGAACGCACCACAACAGGGAAAAAGGAGGCUGCACUACUUUGGAGGGUGAUCAAGAUUUUAAUUUAAAAAGCCAGAACUUUCCGCACUCUCUUCUCUCUCUCUCUAAACCUUCUCGCCUCUGUUCAUUCCGCCGACGACCAUAGCAAUGUACUCUCUGCUCAGAUUCGCCGUUUAAGGAUGUUCGGUUCUUUGACGAUAUUCGGAUCUUUGACGCUGCGUUUUCUGAUUCCCUAUUGAGAGUUGUAAUUCGGGUCCUCAUUUGACACAUCAACCGUGGAGUUGUUUUACUUUCUUUCCGAAAAUCCAAGAAAAUCAAGUAUUCAAUGCUUCGGGAAUGUUUAAGAAAAACAAAUCGUGCCUAAUAAGCUAUUGGUGAUUUCGCUGUAGACCUAGAUCGUAGAUUUCUGGGGAAGUCUGAGAAAAUCCAGUUCAACCCGGUUGCUCCAAUCAACGGCUGAUGAUGCAAUUACUAGGAUUUGGACACUUACCAAAUAAGACACGGCUGCAUCCUCGAGGGAAUCUCCCAAUGAGCCACCAUGCAUGCACUUUCCAUAUCCAUGUGCAUUAAAAAGGGAAAUAGAAUAUCCAAUAGAAGGAAGGUGUUGCCAUAUAAAUAAGGGUCAGAGAGAACACGCAAGGGGGCUUUUUUUUUUAGAGGUGGGAGAGAUCAAGACAUAAAACAGAAUUCUUCCAGAGAGGAUGGACAGAGAUUUUUUUUGGAGAGAUCCACAGCAGAGGAGAUUAUUUUUUUUCUGGAACAAAAGAGGGAUUUCUGGGUUUUUAGAAAGUGGAGAGAAGAGAUAUUAUUUUUUUGGGAACAAAGAGAGGUCUAAAGGAGGGUGAAGGAAGAGAGGAGCAGCCGCACCACCAUAGAGGAAUCCUAGAGAAGGUAAGUUAGAAUUUCUAAGGAUUUUAGUUUUAAUUUUUUAUUGGAUUGAAAGUUAGAGUUUUUAUGUAUUAAUUUUGAUUUUUUAAUCGGAUGAAAGGUUAGAAUGUAGUUAGUUUGAUUUUGAUUCAUUGUCUUGAUUCCAAGUUUUGAUUUUUCUAGGUUGUUAUGUUUUUAGAAUUAUAGUUUAUUAUUCCUAUUGAACCACUUGAUU
rnacentral:lncRNA from 1 species